UGGGGCGCUACUGUGUGAUCUUGGGUGGACUGUAAAUCUGCCGGCUUCGCCUUCCCAGGUUCGAAUCCUGGCGCCGCCAC
rnacentral:tRNA from 1 species